AGGAGGGGAGGGGACAGGCUAGGUUUACAACACAAGGGGAGUGGUCAGAGAACUCAUGAGGGAGGAAGGUAGCAAUGCUGUUUGGGAAUUGUCUGAUCCAGUUUGAGUUCACUAAGGCUCUGUCUAGCUUUUUUGUGAUAGGGUUUUCAGGCCUCUUGUUUGUCCAAGUGCGAGAAUUGCCUUGGAAGCGAAGGUCAUCAACUCCCAAGUCCAAGAAAAAAUCGCUAACCUCCACCAUAUCAUGAGUUAGAUGAUUAACUGAAGGGGAGGAGUGCUCCGCAUGAUGAAUUAUUUGGUUGAAGUCUCCACCAAGUAGCCAGCACUGGUCCUCUAGAUAAUAGGUUUGCUGGACUUCAAGCAAGUCAUUCCAAAGGUCCAGUCUCUCUUCUCUGGUGUUUAACGCAUAGAUAGCUGAGAAGUAGAAGUGCUGUCCAGACUGGAGAGUGACUUUGCAGGUGAGGGAUUGACGACUCUGGUGAAUUUCUUGUACCGAGACAGAGGGCUUCCAGAUGAUAAUGACUCUACCAUCCUCAUCCGUGUUGUGGUUCGAAAUGUAACUCCAUCCAGAACAAAAAAGAGAUAGUAUCUGAUUUAGAUUUGGCUCCUUUAUAUGAGUCUCCAAAAGAGCACCUAUAAAUGGCUGAUGAUAAGAA
rnacentral:lncRNA from 1 species